rnacentral:rRNA from 1 species
GAAUUUUCCGCAAUGGGCGAAAGCCUGACGGAGCAACGCCGCGUGAGGGAUGAAGGCCUCUGGGCUGUAAACUUCUUUUCUCAAGGAAGAAGAUCUGACGGUACUUGAGGAAUAAGCCACGGCUAAUUCCGUGCCAGCAGCCGCGGUAAUACGGGAGUGGCAAGCGUUAUCCGGAAUUAUUGGGCGUAAAGCGUCCGCAGGCGGCCCUUCAAGUCUGCUGUUAAAACGUGGAGCUCAACUCCAUCAUGGCAGUGGAAACUGUUGGGCUUGAGUGUGGUAGGGGCAGAGGGAAUUCCCGGUGUAGCGGUGAAAUGCGUAGAUAUCGGGAAGAACACCAGUGGCGAAGGCGCUCUGCUGGGCCAUAACUGACGCUCAUGGACGAAAGCCAGGGGAGCG